GGGCUCUUAGCUCAGUUUGGUAGAGCAUCCGGCUUUUAACCGGAGGGUCGCGGGUUCGAACCCCGUAGAGCCCG
rfam:Candidatus Altiarchaeales archaeon IMC4 isolate IMC4_SM1 MSIBFv1_B, whole genome shotgun sequence.